CUCUGUACCAGUAACACCCUGUAUAUAGCCUCCACAUUGACUCUGUACCGGUACCCCCUAUAUAUAGCCUCCACAUUGACUCUGUACUGGUACCCCCUGUAUAUAGCCUCCACAUUGACUCUGUACCAGUACCCCCUGUAUAUAGCCUCCACAUUGACUCUGUACCGUAAUACCCUGUAUAUAGCCUCCACAUUGACUCUGUACCGUAAUACCCUGUAUAUAGCCUCCACAUUGACUCUGUACCGUAAUACCCUGUAUAUAGCCUCCACAUUGACUCUGUACCGUAAUACCCUGUAUAUAGCCUCCACAUUGACUCUGUACCGUAAUACCCUGUAUAUAACCUCCACUUUGACUCUGUACCGUAAUACCCUGUAUAUAGCCUCCACAUUCUCUCUGUACCGGUACCCCCUGUAUAUAGCCUCCCCAUUGACUCUGUACCGGUACCCCCUGUAUAUAGUCUCCACAUUGACUCUGUACCGGUACCCCCUGUAUAUAGUCUCCACAUUGACUCUGUACCGGUACCCCCUGUAUAUAGCCUCCCCAUUGACUCUGUACCGGUACCCCCUGUAUAUAGCCUCCCCAUUGACUCUGUACCGGGACCCCCUGUAUAUAGCCUCCCCAUUGACUCUGUACCGGUACCCCCUGUAUAUAGCCUCCCCAUUGACUCUGUACCGGUACCCCCUGUAUAUAGCCUCCACAUUGACUCUGUACCGGUACCCCCUGUAUAUAGCCUCCACAUUGACUCUGUACUGGUACCCCCUGUAUAUAGCCUCCACAUUGACUCUGUACCGGUACCCCCUGUAUAUAGCCUCCACAUUGACUCUGUACCGGUACCCCCUGUAUAUAGCCUCCACAUUGACUCUGUACCGGUACCCCCUGUAUAUAGCCUCCACAUUGACUCUGUACCAGUACCCCCUGUAUAUAGCCUCCACAUUGACUCUGUACCGUAAUACCCUGUAUAUAGCCUCCACAUUGACUCUGUACCGUAAUACCCUGUAUAUAGCCUCCACAUUGACUCUGUACCGUAAUACCCUGUAUAUAGCCUCCACAUUGACUCUGUACCGUAAUACCCUGUAUAUAGCCUCCACAUUGACUCUGUACCGGUACCCCCUGUAUAUAGCCUCCACAUUGACUCUGUACUGGUACCCCCUGUUUAUAGCCUCCACAUUGACUCUGUACCGGUACCCCCUGUAUAUAGCCUCCACAUUCACUCUGUACCGGUACCCCCUGUAUAUAGCCUCCACAUUCUCUCUGUACCGGUAA
rnacentral:lncRNA from 1 species